UGACACUUGCUGACGUCUUCCUCUUUUGUAGCUGGAAGUCACAGGGCAAAGCACUAAGCUGUGCAGUCACAGAAAGAGUCUAAGGGUGUGAAGGGACAGAGGGGAGAGUGUCCAGGGAAGAGUGUCAAGGGUGAAGAAGGAGGAGACAGGUGGGAGCAGAGGUGCUCAGGGCAAUGGCUGAGGCCAUCACCUAUGCUGACCUGCGGUUUGUGAAGGCUCCCCUGAAGAAGAGCGUCUCCAGCCGGUUAGGACAGGACCCAGAGACUGAUGAGGAUGAGGAACUCACCUACGAGAAUGUGCAAGUGCCCUCAGUCUCAGGUGGGCCCUUGAGCUUGGCUUCUUCUGGAGUAGGGGACAAAGCAGGGUUCCAACCCGAGCAGCCAACUGCGUCCUGGGGCUCCGUGACGUCACCCGCUGCCGGGAGGCUCCUCGCGGGUCGCACAGCCUGUAUGCAGUACCUCUUUCUCGGCCUGCUGCUCACCAGCUUGCUGUUAGGGGUGGCCGCCAUCUGCCUGGGAGUACGCUACCUGCAGGUGUCUCAGCAGCUCCAGCAAACGAACAGGCUUCUGGAAACCACUAACAGCAGCCUGCGACAGCAGCUCCACCUAACGAUGACCCAGCUGGGGAAGAAGGAGGAGGAUCUGCAGGGGUCCAGGAGGGAAGCAGCCCAGAGUCAGGAAGCACUACAGGAGAAACAGAGGGUUUGCCAGGCUACCCAAGAACAGUUACAGGCCUGCCAGUCUGAGAUGGAGAAGACAAAGGAGGACUUGCAAAGUAAGGAGGUGCAGAGGAUGACCUUGGAGCAGAGGCUGAGCAGCAUGCGCGACACACUGAAGCCCUUAUUCACGUGCCCCUUAGAAGAUUCCUGCUGUCCCAUGGGAUGGAUACUGAAUGAGAGGAGUUGUUUUUACAUCUCAUACAUGGAGAGAAGUUGGGAGGAGAGCCAAAACUACUGUCAAUCUCUGUCCUCCGACCUGGCCACGUUCGGUGACAUUCCUUAUUCUUAUUCAGUAAGCAUCCCCUUAUUUGCAGACUGUAGUGGGUACUGUUGGGCGAAGGGAUAUGUGUCAGUGAGUCAGGAAUGGUGGUGCACACAGGGUACGCGUUCCUUUUCCGGCAGCUUCUCAGCACAGUGCUCCAGGUGGCCCCUACCAACUGGCCGGAGUUGGCACGAGAGUUGAAGCUCAUGAACCAUCUUUACUUGAACCUGUUUCUCAUCUCAGCUUUCUGGUCAACUCUCCAGGGCUGCUUAACAGCAUCUUUGUCUCUCAUGGCCUCUCAGGCAGAGGUCCCAUAUCUAGGGGGCUGGAUUGUUGGGAUUGACUCCUUAUGACCACAGCAGUCCAUGGAAUGACUCCUCUUUCAAAGGCUGGCAGAAAUUCUUCACCAGCUGGGGGGUGAACUGAAGGGCGAACUUGCAUCUGCAAGGUGGCACUUGAAGGCCACAGGGACAGGUCCCCAAGGAGCUGAUGCCUCGUGCCAGUCAGAAACAGACCUCUUGUCAAAGCCGAGACCUCCCCAUAGUGCUCAUUUUCUUUCAUUGGCCCACAUUCCCCCCUCCCUACACCGCACCCCCGCCCCGGCCUCUCGCACUGGAAUAUUUCUCAUCACUCUCCACAUACCUCUCCUCUGAUUCUCCCCUCAGGUUACAAACCACAACAGCGCAAGGAAGAUGUUGAUGCAAAUUAGCCCACCUGGCUCAUUUUGGGUUAAUCACAGCUUUGCUAAGAGGUGGCAGCAGGUUGAUGGCAAACGAGGCCCUGGUCAAAGCUCAAGAUGUUAUAAGGUACAAAGCAGUUGGCCAAGAACACAGCAGCAUGACUGUACUUCUCUCCUUCCCUGCAUCUGUGAGAUGACAGCUUUCAAGCACCCGGAUAGGGACCACUUUUUGCCCUGAGUUGGGCACUCAUGCCAACAGAAGCCCGCGCCCCUCACCCUAACUGCAGUUUGCAGGCCCUAAGAUCAUCUCCCUCUAGCGUUCCCUCACUCUGCCUGUGCAGUGCCUAGCCAAGGGCGGAUCCAUGCCCAAUACUUCCAGCCAGCCUGUUGCCUGCUUGAAAUCCUGCCCCAGAAGCUGGACUGUUCCUGGGAAACUGGUGAAGAAGUCACUAGAAGAGAUUUUGGCCUCCCCAAGAACUUCCCAUAGUGGCACUGUAGGGGGGUGGAGGAGGGCGCAUGGGCUGAGUGGAUAGGGGCAGCCCGGAGCCAGCCAGGCAGUUUUAUUGAAAUAUUUUUAAAUAA